rnacentral:rRNA from 1 species
AGAAGCCAUCCUUCGGGAUGGUGGGCAGUGGCGAACGGGUGAGUAACGCGUGGGAACCUGCCCUUCGGUACGGGACAACCGCGGGAAACUGCGGCUAAUACCGUAUAUUCCCUACGGGGGAAAGAUUUAUCGCCGAAGGAUGGGCCCGCGUCCGAUUAGCUUGUUGGUGAGGUAAAAGCUCACCAAGGCAACGAUCGGUAACUGGUUUGAGAGGAUGAUCAGCCACACUGGGACUGAGAUACGGCCCAGACUCCUACGGGAGGCAGCAGUGGGGAAUAUUGGACAAUGGGGGCAACCCUGAUCCAGCCAUGCCGCGUGAGUGAAGAAGGCCUUAGGGUUGUAAAGCUCUUUCAGCGAGGAAGAUAAUGACGGUACUCGCAAAAGAAGCCCCGGCUAACUCCGUGCCAGCAGCCGCGGUAAUACGGAGGGGGCUAGCGUUGUUCGGAAUUACUGGGCGUAAAGCGUGCGUAGGCGGUUUGCUAAGUUGGGCGUGAAAGCCCGGGGCUCAACCCCGGAACUGCGUUCAAAACUGGCAGACUAGAGGCCGGAAGAGGAGAGCGGAAUUCCCAGUGUAGAGGUGAAAUUCGUAGAUAUUGGGAAGAACACCAGUGGCGAAGGCGGCUCUCUGGUCCGGUACUGACGCUGAGGCACGAAAGCGUGGGGAGCGAACAGGAUU